AUUGAACGCUGGCGGCAGGCCUAACACAUGCAAGUCGAGCGGCAGCGCGUCCGACACCCUCGGGUGGUCGGAUGGCGGCGAGCGGCGGACGGGUGAGGAAUGCAUCGGAAUCUGCCUCGUUGUGGGGGAUAACGUAGGGAAACUUACGCUAAUACCGCAUACGACCUACGGGUGAAAGUGGGGGGACCUUCGGGGCCUCACGCGAUGAGAUGAGCCGAUGCCGGAUUAGCUAGUUGGCGGGGUAAAGGCCCACCAAGGCGACGAUCCGUAGCUGGUCUGAGAGGAUGAUCAGCCACACUGGAACUGAGACACGGUCCAGACUCCUACGGGAGGCAGCAGUGGGGAAUAUUGGACAAUGGGGGGCAA
rnacentral:rRNA from 1 species